GAUCCAGACCAGGGCUUCCGGGAGCUAAAACGCGAGGUCUCUCGAGGGUUGCUGGCUGGUGGGGAGCUGGUUUAGUAAAGUAUUAUUUUAGGUCCUUAACUUAUCCCUUUUGCUUCGGCGCAUAGAUAAUCAAAUUAGCCAGUUUUCCUUUUCUUUUCUCCCUCCUUUUGCUUUCUCUUGGUGGGGUGGAGGGGGAGGUGUGACAGGGAGAAGAUUGUCUGCUCUUAGCCCUUUAUUCCUGGCUGCCACUAAGAAUGAGUAGUCCCUUAGUAUAGAAAAUGCAAACCAGGCCCAGACUUAACGUACAUUUUGAGAGGCACGUGGGGAACAGGAUUUCCGGUUUCCAGCUUUGUAAAAUGCAGUGAACACAGUCAUGAAGCCUCUCCCGGAGUAGUGCCAUCAAACAGAAACCUGUUUGGCUACCUGAAUGUCCAUGAAGAGGAGGAACAUGAAGCCAGGGAGGUAACUUGAAAAACAAGUAGGCGGUGUGGUUCCAAAGGGCAUGAGGCAGAA
rnacentral:lncRNA from 1 species